AGAAAGUGAUGCUUAGCCAGAUGGAUAGAGGCUAUCUGGAUUCUGCAGAAAAAUCCUCCUGAAUUCUGUUCCCACAUUGAUUAGAUGAUGACAUUUUCCAGAGCCCCAAGAAGCAAUUCCAGUCAGAAGCACCUUACAUACCCCAGAGUAAGAACAUGAGUGGGAUGCGGAACCAGGUGCAGUGUUUGCAUUUAGCAACAGACCUCAGAAGUGUCACCAGUUUCCAGUGACCACAUAGCUCCAUCCUGCUGUGGCCAGGGUCAGUAGCUUCUGGAGCUAACACUGGGAUAUCAGUCAUCAUCACUGUUACUGUGCUUGACAGUCUCCCUGAACAUAAAUGCAAGAGAAGACAGUCUACUAGGAAGACUCACGGAAAAAGAAAGGAAGAAAAGCUGCAAACAUCAGGACACACACACACACACACACACACACACACACACUCACAUAUGCAAAACAACAUGAGACAAAAACCUAAUAAAUAAACUGAUAGUUUCUCCAAACCAGAAAACAAACAUGAGAUGCUGAAAUACAAGGAAAAUUUUGAGUUCUUUA